UCCUCCAGAGUCCGGGCCAAAGACUGAGUGAGCUUCAGCGCGCAGGGGCUGGGGUCUUUACAAUCAGAGAGAGAGCAGCUGCGUGAGGCAGGAUGUGUGGAUGGAAGCGACGCGAGGGCCUGUGCGCUAAAGACGAAUUCAAGGCGAAGAAAGCAAAAGCAUCAGACUCAUUUGAGACGAUGAUGCUGCCGGGUUUUAUUUUGCAUGUUUGACUUUAAUACCAAGAAAUAUUUGUCAACGAUAAAAUCUAAACCUUUAAAAGUUCUUGUACAAUUUUGAAAAGUUUGGCACAACAAAAAGAGUCCAAAAAACAAACAAAAAAAACUUAGUGUGUCACAGUCUUUCGUGCGUAAAAACAAGCAUGUAUUGGUAAAUGGCGUUUUAGUUCCACUUUUAAAUAUUUUCCUUUCUAACAUUAAGUUGUUUUAACUCAUAGUUAAAAAAACUGUUCUUUAGUCAGUGAUGUUU